AGUUGGCCUUGGACAUCUGAAACUGAGGGAAACGAAGCCACGGAUGAACUGUGCAAAGAAACCAACAUCAGAGAGUUCUGUGGAAGUGCCUGCUCCGCGUGAGGUACCAGAGUGGCCAAGACAUCCAACAAUUACCAGCCAGGAAACUCACUUUGCAUAGAUAUUUUCUACUCACUAAUCAAUAAAUACAAAGUGACAGAGUGUCAGUUAGAAAACUCUUUACAAGGCAAAGAGGGCUCACAGGCCAGUGGGAGAGAUGACUAACACCAACACCUAACACCAUGCAAGAUGCUACAGAGGUACCAAGCAAGUACCUAAGAAAGUUUGUUGGAGGAGAAGAACAUCCUGGACAAAAUGAUGCUAGAGUCAGGAUCUGAAGGAUGGGUGAAGUUAGCCAAAAAGGAUACAAGGAGAGAACUGAUAUCUGGAUAAACAACUUCAGUCUAUGACACGGCUUGGUCAGGACACUUUAGAUGGAUGAAUUCUUUACAACUCACAAUAACUUAUUUUUCUGAUUGUUCAUUCAAAAAGUCAGCUAAAAAAAUACCUUCCAGCCUGGCAAGAUUGCUCAUGUAAAGGUUCUUACUACAUGAGUCUGGUGAUCUGAGUUUGAUCUCCAUGUAGAAGUGGAAGGAGAGAACCAACUGCAUGAAUUUGUCCUGUGAUCCCAACAUAUGCCCUGUGGUAUGCACACCCCUCCCAUGUACUAAACAUACACAUGCAAUAAUAAUGAA